rnacentral:rRNA from 1 species
ACGGGUGAGUAACGCGUGGGAACGUGCCUUCCGGUUCGGAAUAACCCUGGGAAACUAGGGCUAAUACCGGAUACCCCCUUAUGGGGAAAGGUUUACUGCCGGAAGAUCGGCCCGCGUCUGAUUAGCUAGUUGGUGGGGUAACGGCCUACCAAGGCGACGAUCAGUAGCUGGUCUGAGAGGAUGAUCAGCCACACUGGGACUGAGACACGGCCCAGACUCCUACGGGAGGCAGCAGUGGGGAAUAUUGGACAAUGGGCGCAAGCCUGAUCCAGCCAUGCCGCGUGAGUGAUGAAGGCCUUAGGGUUGUAAAGCUCUUUUAUCCGGGACGAUAAUGACGGUACCGGAGGAAUAAGCCCCGGCUAACUUCGUGCCAGCAGCCGCGGUAAUACGAAGGGGGCUAGCGUUGCUCGGAAUCACUGGGCGUAAAGGGCGCGUAGGCGGCGUUUUAAGUCGGGGGUGAAAGCCUGUGGCUCAACCACAGAAUGGCCUUCGAUACUGGGACGCUUGAGUAUGGUAGAGGUUGGUGGAACUGCGAGUGUAGAGGUGAAAUUCGUAGA